rnacentral:rRNA from 1 species
UACAGAGGGGGGCAAGCGUUGUUCGGAAUUACUGGGCGUAAAGGGCGCGUAGGCGGUUAUGUAAGACAGAUGUGAAAUCCCCCGGGCUUAACCUGGGAAUGGCAUUUGGGACUGCAAGGCUGGAGUGUGGCAGAGGAGACUGGAAUUCCCGGUGUAGCAGUGAAAUGCGUAGAUAUCGGGAGGAACACCAGAGGCGAAGGCGGGCUACUGGGCUGAUACUGACGCUGAUGCGCGAAAGCCAGGGGAGCAAACGGG